AGCUGAUCAGUCUGUUUCCUACAACCCCACUGGACAUUGCCAUCUAGCCAGGCUGGGAUGAGAGAACUUGGAGAAAACAAGCCUGUUUUUAACCGUUUCAGUCUGAUCUAUUUGCAGGUGAGAAGAUUAUGUUACCUGUAUUUCAGGGCUUGGCAGGAAAAAGGUGUCAAUGUUGCAGCAUAAUGAAAUAAAGUCAUAGCCCUAAAUUCUAA